CUUCCACUUCACUACCAACUUUCACCACCAACUCUCCUUUAUGCAGACAAUCAAAUCCUCAUAAUCUUAGCAAAUCUUAUCAUCAAUCCUCUGCCAUUUCAAUUAGACAAAAGCCAAGUUUUAAAAGCUAAGUUUCAUUCUAUUAGUUCAUCCGCUCUUUCCUUCUCUUUUCAACACACCCAACAAAGUUUAAAGUGCAGAGUAAUCAAGCAGAUUCAGAUCCAAAUUCAUUGUUAAAUUGUUGAUUCGCAGAUCCAACUUUGUGAGUUCAGAAAAUUAUCAAGGUUACCUCCUACUUUACUUUUUCCAUACAUUCAUUUGUUAAAUUACAAAACUAUGAUUCAAAUGAAAACAGAUAGAACACACGCAUCCAUUACCACUUCUUUUAGACUAUUAUUGUUUCAAUUACAUUAGCUUAUCACCAUCAGAGAACCACCAACAGAAUAAUACACACGCACACAUUUUACUAUAUUUCUAUCUAUUACAAGUACAGAUCAGUUUUUGUAAAUAGAAAUGAAUGAAAAUGAACAGAA